rnacentral:rRNA from 1 species
AUUGAACGCUGGCGGCAGGCCUAACACAUGCAAGUCGAACGAGUCGCGGGCGUGUGAGUAGUGUCGGGAAAACUGCCUGAUAGAGGGGGAUAACUACUGGACAGUGUCUCUAAUCCCGCAUUACCUCGUAUGUGCCCAGAUGGGAUUAGCUAGUAGGUGGGGUAAAGGCUCACCUAGGCGACGAUCCCUAGCUGGUCUGAGAGGAUGACCAGCCACACUGGAACUGAGACACGGUCCAGACUCCUACGGGAGGCAGCAGUGGGGAAUAUUGCACAAUGGGCGCAAGCCUGAUGCAGCCAUGCCGCGUGUAUGAAGAAGGCCUUCGGGUUGUAAAGUACUUUCAGCGGGGAGGCGUUACCCGCAGAAGAAGCACCGGCUAACUCCGUGCCAGCAGCCGCGGUAAUUC